rnacentral:tRNA from 1 species
GCCAGGGUGGCGGAAUUGGCAGACGCGCCAGACUUAGGAUCUGGUGCCGAAAGGCGUGCAGGUUCGAGUCCUGUCUCUGGCACUA